CGGGGUGCAGCAGGCGCGAAAACUUUACAAUGCGGGAAACCGUGAUAAGGGGACACCGAGUGCCAGCAUCCUAUGCUGGCUGUCCGGGUGUGUAAAAUACACCUGUUAGCAAGGGCCGGGCAAGACCGGUGCCAGCCGCCGCGGUAACACCGGCGGCCCGAGUGGUGAUCGUGAUUAUUGGGUCUAAAGGGUCCGUAGCCGGUUUGGUCAGUCCUCCGGGAAAUCUGACAGCUUAACUGUUAGGCUUUCGGAGGAUACUGCCAGACUUGGAACCGGGAGAGGUAAGAGGUACUACAGGGGUAGGAGUGAAAUCUUGUAAUCCCUGUGGGACCACCUGUGGCGAAGGCGUCUUACCAGAACGGGUUCGACGGUGAGGGACGAAAGCUGGGGGCACGAACCGGAUUAGACACCCGGGUAGUCCCAGCCGUAAACGAUGCUCGCUAGGUGUCAGGCAUGGCGCGACCGUGUCUGGUGCCGCAGGGAAGCCGUGAAGCGAGCCACCUGGGAAGUACGGCCGCAAGGCUGAAACUUAAAGGAA
rnacentral:rRNA from 1 species